CCUACGGGAGGCAGCAGUAAGGAAUAUUGGACAAUGGCCGCAAGGCUGAUCCAGCCAUGCCGCGUGCAGGAAGAAGGCCCUAUGGGUCGUAAACUGCUUUUGAACCAGAGAAAACCCCACUACGUGUAGUGGGCUGAUAGUAUGGUUAGAAUAAGCAUCGGCUAGCUUCGUGCCAGCAGCCGCGGUAAGACGAAGGAUGCAAGCGUUAUCCGGAUUCAUUGGGUUUAAAGGGAGCGUAGGCGGACUUGUAAGUCAGUGGUGAAAUCUGUGGGCUUAACCCACAAACUGCCAUUGAUACUGCAGGUCUAGAGUACAGUUGCCGUUGGCGGAAUAUGACAUGUAGUGGUGAAAUACUUAGAUAUGUCAUAGAACACCGAUUGCGAAGGCAGCUAACGAAGCUGUAACUGACGCUGAGGCUCGAAAGUGCGGGGAUCAAACAGGAUUAGAUACCCUGGUAGUCCGCACUAGUAACGUAUAGAUACUCGUUGUCGUGUAAGACGAUUACUUAGUGACGAACGACGAAGACGAGAAGUAAGUACACCGUACGGUAGGUACGGCCGGCCGACGGUACGGAACGUACGAAGAAGUAGUAGGACGNGAGAGAGCGACGGACGACGACGACGGGAGGGAGGAG
rnacentral:rRNA from 1 species